UUGAGCCAAAAAAAAAAAAAAAAACAAAAAAAAAAACAAAAAAACAAAAAAACUUUGUUUCUUCUGAAAAAUAAAAAAGGCGCCAUUGAUAAAAGAAUCAUCUUCUUUGCAUUCACCGAAACUUGUCUCAGUUUAUUUACCGCUGCUGGCUUUCUCCAACGGACACUGCAUAAGCUACUGCUCGGCACUCUGCGAAGUUAAUGAGUAAAACGGCGCGUUUUGGUAUCUUGGAGUAAGACCACGAACCAUUUGGCAUCCUUUUAUAUUUUUCCAGUCUUCUUUCAUCGCUUUCUCUUCAAUUUUUUUUUUUUUUUGCUGGGAAUUAUUGUUUUCUUUUUUUUGAAUAAAAAAAAGUUUCUUCUAGUAUUUCUCUUCUAUUUCUGUUAACCCAUUGGCAAAAAGGCCUCGUCUUUGAAAGACUUUCAAUGGUGGAACUGGUUUUGUUUCACCUUUUAUGUUGAAAUCGUUGGAAAAAGAGAAAUUGGGCAUUAAUGGGUAUUUGCCCAUGUUCCAUAAUCUCGUCAUUUAAAUGGGUUUUGCUCCGGAACUCUAUGUUUUUCCAUGAAAGACGUCUUUUUUGUUCGUUUGUAAAUUCUGCACUCUUAAAUGACCAUUAUGUGUUUGAUGAAAGUCCGCAUUCAGUUGAAGUUAAUGUAGUUGAUCACUUUGAGGUUCCUAGAAAAGAAUCUAGUAUCCUAAGAAAUCAUGAGCAGCGCCCUUUUGUUGUUAGAAGCCAAUCUUCGGUCGAAGUUAAUGUAACUGAUAAAGGUAAUGUUCCUAUUAGUCAGAUAAGUAUAAGGAGAAAGUUCAAACUCUAUGCCAUUGUGGUCAAAGUGAUCAAAUCUCUGAGUUGGAGUUCUGCGAACAAAAUAAAGUUCUCUAAGGCUGUGAAACAUUAUGAAGUUUCCCAUUGUCUAGAUGCAUUUCAAAUUAUUGUUCAUCUGUUUGCAUGGGCGGGAAUGAGGGUAGAGGUGUAUCAUAUGCUAAGAGAUUUGGUUUGCUAUUGGAGAUAUGCAAACUAUGAUGCAUCUGAACUGUUCCUAAAGUUAUUGGAUUCACCUCAUAAUGUAGCAAGAUUAAUUGUUGUAUUUGAUAUGCUCAUAAAGGUUUUCGCCGCAAAUUCAAUGAUUGAGAGUGCCGUCAAUGUGUUUGUGCGGGCUAAGAAAGUUGGUCUUCAGCUAGACAUUAAAUCUUGUAACUUCUUGCUCAAGUGUUUAAUAGAAGCUAACAAAAUAGAGUGUGCUAGCACUUUAUUUCAUGAUUUAAAGUGCUCUGGUCCAUCACCAAAUAUUUACUCCUACACAAUUAUGAUGAACUUUUACUGUAAAAGACAUCAUGGGCGGAAAGUAUAUAUUGAGCAAGCUACUGAAAUUCUAGAAGAAAUAGAGAAGAAUGGGGAAAGUCCAACUGCCGUCACGCAUGGUACCUAUAUUUCUGGACUCUGUAAAUAUGGUUAUAUUGAGUUCGCUUGGAAAUUCAUCCAGAAAUUAAAAUGUAAAAACGAGCCUCAUAAUGCUCAUUGUUACAAUUUUAUAAUUCAGGCGUUUUGCCAAAGAGGUGAUGUGCUUGAAGCUUCAAAGAUUUUCAAAGAAAUGAAGUUAUGUGGGAUAUUGCCAGAUGUUUAUAGCUAUAGCAUUUUGAUUGAUGGUUUUUGCAAGAAGGGAGAUAUUAAGAAAGGUCUGAAUUUGAUUGAGGAAAUGGGUCAUCAUCAAAUAAAACCAUCAAUGGUUACUUACAGCUCACUCUUUUAUGGUCUUUGUAGAAGUGAACUGGUGGAUAUCUCACAAGAUAUGUUCCAUAAUCUGGUGAAUUACGGCUAUAAGUAUCUCAGACUUUUGGAGGAGAUGGUGGGUAACAAUUUAACUCCUAUUGCCACUGAUUUCGGCAUCCUGAUCCAUGGUUUCUGCAAGUUAGGCCUCUUUGAUAGGGCUUUGGAAGUCUUCAAAAUCAUGCUCCAAUGUGGUGUGUUACCUGAUACUUUCACUUGCAAUUUCAUUGUGGAUGGGCUUUGCAAGGAAGGACACUUGGAUGAAGUCUUGGAACUGAUGCAUGAAAUGCAAGAUCAAGGCAUAAUCCUUAACUCAUACACCUAUAAUGCUGUCAUUAGCAGGCUGUGCAGAGAAGGAAAACCUGAAAAGGCAUUGGAGCUUUUUCCUCUGAUGUUUAAGAGGAAUGUAUUUCCAGAAGUUGUAAUUUAUAGUACUCUGAUGGAAGGUUUUGCAAGACAGUCAAAUUAUAAGAAGGCAUUGAGGUUGUACAAAAGAAUGCUAAAAUUUGGUGUCACACCUGAUACAGUUGCAUAUACAAUUCUUAUUAAUAUAUACUGCCAUAGAAGCAAAAUGCGUAAAGCUUGUCUCUUAUUUAAGGAAAUGACUGACAAUCAUUUGGUUUCUGAUGAGAAAUCUUACACAUCUAUAAUUGCGGGAUUUUGUAGAACUGGAGACAUGAAGAAGGCUCGUGCAAUGUACGGUGAAAUGUUGAGAAAAGGUCAUCGACCCACUGCUGUAACGUAUACCUGUUUAAUCGAUGGAUAUUGCAAGGUUUCUCGCAUGGAUAUUGCUAACUUGCUGUUUGAAGAGAUGCAGAAAAAUGAUGUUGCUCCUGAUGUGGUGACUUACAAUGCUCUCAUGUCUGGCUAUCAAAGACAGGGAAAUAUUAAAGUAGCACGUGAAUUAUUUGGUGAAAUGGAGGCGAAGGGUGUUCUUCCAAAUGAUAUUUCCCUUAGAAUAACAGGGCUUAGCACUUGAUUGCUUACCGAAGAUUAGAAAGCUGAGGGAAUUUUGAUGCAAAGAUUGCUAGAUGUCUCUUGUCUGUCAAUGUCUCCACAUCCAUUGCCUCUGUGCCCUCAGGAAUAGGCUGUUUAUUCUGCUGGAGGAAUUUCUUUACCACUUUUUCUAGUAGCUUAUCCUUCUGGUGUGAUUGAGACACUAAUAUCCAAGCAUAGCAAUCAAACUUUUCCUUCACUAAGGAUAGUUGACCAUCUAGCAAACUAAUCGAUUUAUCUCCUGGAGAUUCAAUGCCCACGACUUAAGCUUUGUCAAGAUAAACAGCUUCAUUUUGAGGGUCAUACCUCGAAAUGCAGGUGGUAGUAAUAGUAUUAGUAGUAAUAGUAGAUCUUUCCCGAAUGGAGUCAAAGCCAUCCUUUCCACUUCUUUCCUUGAUCUCACAAAUUUCCAUUUUUAAAUCUUUAUAAAAGAGGCAGUACAGUGGGCAUGGUUUGAGUUUGAUGAUGUAGUGGCCAAGUUUAUAGAGGAGGUCCAUGAAACAGCCGCUGCCGCAAUGAUAUUGUGCCAAGUGAAAAAUGUUUCCAUCAAUGGCAUCUUCGAUAUGAAACGGUGCUUCCCUUAGUUUUUUCAGCCAUGCUUUAACACCAUCACUAGUAAUAUUGUCUCCUUCGGCUUCUGUCUUCUGGCAACGGUGGAUGCACUCCAUAACCAAACCUUCAGAAUGAAUGUUUCUCAGCAAGUUUGCUUAUUGGACCAAUAAUGGGAGUGAGGUGUUCAAUAACAAAGCCUACUGCUGUAUCCGCCAUUAUUUUAAUCUCUGAUCUUUCUUAAUCAAGAGUUUUCAGGGUUCACCUGCCAUAUACAGAUGGUGAUCUAAUUAUGCUUGAUGUGCAACUGUGUCUUGUUGACAACUGAAAAAAAUUAUCUAAUUUUCGUAUGGAUAAAGCAUGCUAGAACAGCUAAUACAAGACAGUAUUUUACUGAGAAGCUUGAUCCAUUUUAGUUUAAGUAUUCUUUUUCUUUUUAUUUAUUUUAUUAGAUUAAAGUAUUCUUAAUCACAUGUAU